rnacentral:rRNA from 1 species
UAGGGAAUCUUCCGCAAUGGACGCAAGUCUGACGGAGCAACGCCGCGUGAGUGAAGAAGGUUUUCGGAUCGUAAAACUCUGUUGUAAGAGAAGAACAAAUUGUAGAGUAACUGCUACAGUCUUGACGGUAUCUUACCAGAAAGCCACGGCUAACUACGUGCCAGCAGCCGCGGUAAUACGUAGGUGGCAAGCGUUGUCCGGAUUUAUUGGGCGUAAAGGGGGCGCAGGCUGCUUCUUAAGUCUGAUGUGAAAGCCCACGGCUUAACCGUGGAAGUGCAUUUGGAACUGGGAAGCUUGAGUACAGAAGAGGAAAGGGGAACUCCAUGUGUAGCGGUGGAAUGCGUAGAUAUAUGGAAGAACACCAGUGGCGAAAGCGACUUUCUGGUCUGUCACUGACGCUGAGGCCCGAAAGCGUGGGUAGCAAACAGG